AGGGACUCUUCCACAAUGGACGAAAGUCUGAUGGAGCAACGCCGCGUGAGUGAUGAAGGUUUUCGGAUCGUAAAACUCUGUUGUAAGGGAAGAGCAAGUACAGUAGUAACUGGCUGUACCUUGACGGUACCUUAUUAGAAAGCCACGGCUAACUACGUGCCAGCAGCCGCGGUAAUACGUGGGUGCAAGCGUUGUCCGGAAUUAUUGGGCGUAAAGCGCGCGCAGGUGGUUUCUUAAGUCUGAUGUGAAAGCCCACGGCUCAACCGUGGAGGGUCAUUGGAAACUGGGAGACUUGAGUGCAGAAGAGGAGAGUGGAAUUCCAAGUGUAGCGGUGAAAUGCGCAGAGAUUUGGAGGAACAACAGUGGCGAAGGCGACUUUCUGGUCUGUAACUGACACUGAGGCGCGAAAGCGUGGGGAGCAAACA
rnacentral:rRNA from 1 species